rnacentral:misc_RNA from 1 species
GAUGAAGAACGUAGCGAAAUGCGAUAAGUAAUGUGAAUUGCAGAAUUCAGUGAAUCAUCGAAUCUUUGAACGCACCUUGCGCCCUUUGGCUAUUCCGAAGGGCAUGCCUGUUUGAGCAUCAUGAACACCUCAACUCUUUAUGGUUUUCCAUGAAGGGCUUGGACUUUGGGGGUCUUGCUGGCCUUUAGUCAGCUCCUCUCAAACGAAUCAGCUUUCCAGUGUUUGGCAGCGUCACAGGUGUGAUAACUAUCUACGCUUGUGGUUUUCUGCCAGGUAAUCCUCAGUGAUGGGGAUUCGCUGGGGCUUAUAAAUGUCUCUCCUCAGCGAAGACAGCUUUGUGAACGUUUGAUCUCAAAUCAGGUAGGACUACCCGCUGAACUUAAGCAUAUCAAUAAGCGGAGGA